rnacentral:lncRNA from 1 species
CCUUUAUAAACAAACUCUUCCUACUCCAACAUAGGCACUUUAUUUUUCUCUAUUUGCACCGCCAAACAAUGCUUUUCGCACCACCCAAGUUGGCUAUUUUAUGGAUGAGGCAUAUGAGGAAACAUGGAGAUGAAGGUGGUGGUGGUGGUGUUGGACGAGAAGGAGAUCAUUCAUAUGUUUGUUCUUAAUUUGGAGAUUAAUGGUGCUAAGAGAUUAAUUAUUAAUUAAUUAUAAUUAUUCUUCUCACCAUACACACCUCAGGGCAACUCCAAUCCUUUGGCAUAUCACUUUUCUUUUUUAUAACUUUAUGUUUGUAAUUUGGUCUUAUAUGCUAUAACUCCAAUCCUACUUAAUAUAUCGAGGGUCUUGAUGCAUAACAAGUUAGAGUGCUUUUCUUCAAUUUUAUGUAGUUACUAUUAAGUAUUACUACUAGUAUUUAUUUAUAACUAAAACCGAUCCGGUUUUAUAAUUUGGCUUUGUUUUGUGGAUCUAUCAAUGCUAUUUGAAUCCUAGUCAUGUUUUCCCUUUUAUAUUUUAUAUAUGUGUAUACAUAUGUAUUAAUGUACUAUAAUGUAUACACUCUCUUCGAAGUUUGGUGUCG